AAAGUUUUAAGUUAAUUAAACUAAUAAUUUUCAAAAUUAUCAAUAAGAACUUUUCUUAAGCUUUA
rnacentral:tRNA from 1 species